CUAAAAAAAAAAUUAAAAAUAAAAAAAAAACAGAAAAAUGUAGUGUGUUUCUGUGUGUGUGUGUGUGUGUGUGCGCGCACGCGCGCGUUCGUUCGUUCGUUCGUUCGUUCGUGUCUCCCAGGCUAGUGAGUACUGAGGGCUUCAUCUAUCUAAAAGGAGUCAUUUCCAUCUGAAUGUGGCAGCGACGGGACACAGCAGCAGAGCGAGUCCACAUCCAGAAGGCUGGAGCCGUGUUUCACUGACAGGCUCUCAGACUAAAGCCCUGAUGAGCUCAGCUGGGACAAACUGGUCUGAUGUUUAGGAACACAGAACGUUCAGAUGUUGGAGCUUCACGUCACCUACUGAGGAGGAAGGAGACCCACCAGUAAAGAGACGGUAGCUGGACCAGACCAACGUGAGUGAUGACACACCUCAGCCACCCUCAUCAUUAAGAACGCCUCACCCCCUGAAUCACUCCGUCUGAUGACAGCAGAGUGAUUUAUUUGAUGGUUUACUUGUUUAGUCUGUUUAGAAAUUAUUGAAUUACAUUAUUUUCUGUAAUCGACCAUCUGAUCUGGACGUGUGCAGAAUAACUUUCCCCAAAUUCAGCAACAGCUAGCCUACAAAAACAGCUGCAGCAUGUAGUAAGUCUGUCUGCACUGCUCUCUAAUGAGCUUCCUUUCAUAAGGAAUCAUUUGUAUAAUUUUAGUGUCACUAUUUUAUUACAUUUGUAAGAAUAUGAAGUCACUGCAGCAAAGUGAACUUGUGAACAAAGUAAACCAAAACAACACAAACGUGACUAUAAACAUGAAAGCUAAAGAACCAACUUUCCUAAAGCUGCUUGUAAACAA